UACAGAGGUCUCAAGCGUUUUUCGGAUUCAUUGGGCGUAAAGGGUGCGUAGGUGGUUGGGUAAGUCAAAUGUGAAAUCCCGGAGCUCAACUCCGGAACUGCAUUCGAUACUGCCCGGCUCGAGGAUUGGAGAGGAGACUGGAAUUCACGGUGUAGCAGUGAAAUGCGUAGAGAUCGUGAGGAACACCCGUGGCGAAGGCGGGUCUCUGGACAAUUCCUGACACUGAGGCACGAAGGCCAGGGGAGCAAACGGG
rnacentral:rRNA from 1 species